rnacentral:rRNA from 1 species
UAAGGAAUAUUGCUCAAUGGGAGACAUCCUGAAUCAGCAACGCCGCGUGGAGGAUGAAGGGCUUUCAGCUUGUAAACUCCUGUAAAGAAGGAAAAAAUUCCCAUUAGAUGGGAAAUGAUGGUACUUCUAAAGUAAGCCCCGGCUAACUACGUGCCAGCAGCCGCGGUAAUACGUAGGGGGCAAGCGUUGUCCGGAUUUACUGGGUGUAAAGGGUGCUCAGGCGGAUUUGUAAGUCAGAGGUGAAAUCUCACAGCUUAACUGUGAAACUGCCUUUGAUACUGCAAGUCUAGAGUAUGGAAGAGAGUGAUGGAAUGUCUUGUGUAGCAGUGAAAUGCGUAGAUAUCAGAUAGAACACCAAUGGCGAAGGCAGUCACUUGGGCUAUUACUGACGCUAAAGCACGAAAGCGUGGGUAGCAAACA